rnacentral:tRNA from 1 species
GGGGUUGUGGCUCAGCGGUAGAGGGCUCGCCUAGCAUGUGAGGCCCUGAGUUAGAUUCUCGGCAGGCACC